rnacentral:rRNA from 1 species
AGAGUUUGAUCAUGGCUCAGAUUGAACGCUGGCGGCAGGCCUAACACAUGCAAGUCGAGCGGUAACAGGCCCUUCGGGGCGCUGACGAGCGGCGGACGGGUGAGUACUGCAUAGGAAUCUACCCGGUAGUUGGGGAUAACCUGGGGAAACUCAGGCUAAUACCGCAUACGUCCUACGGGAGAAAGCAGGGGCCUUUUGGCCUUGCGCUAUCGGAUGAGCCUAUGCCGGAUUAGCUGGUUGGUGAGGUAAUGGCUCACCAAGGCGACGAUCCGUAGCUGGUCUGAGAGGAUGAUCAGCCACAUCGGGACUGAGACACGGCCCGAACUCCUACGGGAGGCAGCAGUGGGGAAUAUUGGACAAUGGGGGCAACCCUGAUCCAGCCAUGCCGCGUGUGUGAAGAAGGCCUUCGGGUUGUAAAGCACUUUCAGCGAGGAAGAACGCCUGGCGGUUAAUACCCGCCAGGAAAGACAUCACUCGCAGAAGAAGCACCGGCUAACUCCGUGCCAGCAGCCGCGGUAAUACGGAGGGUGCGAGCGUUAAUCGGAAUUACUGGGCGUAAAGCGCGCGUAGGCGGCGUGAUAAGCCGGUUGUGAAAGCCCUGGGCUCAACCUGGGAACUGCAUCCGGAACUGUCAGGCUAGAGUGCAGGAGAGGAAGGUAGAAUUCCCGGUGUAGCGGUGAAAUGCGCAGAGAUCGGGAGGAAUACCAGUGGCGAANGCGGCCUUCUGGACUGACACUGACGCUGAGGUGCGAAAGCGUGGGUAGCAAACAGGAUUAGAUACCCUGGNAGUCCACGCCGUAAACGAUGUCGACCAGCCGUUGGGUGCCUUGAGCACUUUGUGGCGAAGUUAACGCGAUAAGUCGACCGCCUGGGGAGUACGGCCGCA